rnacentral:rRNA from 1 species
GUGAGGAAUAUUGGUCAAUGGGCGCAAGCCUGAACCAGCAAUGCCGCGUGUGGGAUGACGGCGCUUUGCGUUGUAAACCACUGUCGGACGGGACGAAAAGAGGCAUUAGCCUCCGAGACGGUACCGUCAAAGGAAGGGUCGGCUAACUACGUGCCAGCAGCCGCGGUAAUACGUAGGACCCAAGCGUUGUCCGGAUUCACUGGGUAUAAAGGGUGCGUAGGCGGUCUUGUGCGUCAGAGGUGAAAUAUCCGGGCUUAACCCGGAGGGUGCCUUUGAUACGGCAGGACUUGAGUGCGAGAGAGGAUGAUGGAAUUCCUGGUGUAGCGGUGAAAUGCGUAGAUAUCAGGAGGAACACCGGUGGCGAAGGCGGUCAUCUGGCUCGUAACUGACGCUGAGGCACGAAAGCGUGGGGAUCAAACAGGAUUAGAAACCCGAGUAGUCC